AUUGCCUCAGUAACGGCGAGUGAAGCGGCAAUAGCUCAAUUUUGAAAUCUAGCACCUCUGGUGUUCGAGUUGUAAUUUGUAGAAGAUGUUCCCGAGUUUACCUUGGUCUAUGUUCCUUGGAACAGGUCGUCAUAGAGGGUGAGAAUCCCGUAUGUGGCUGAGUGUACUCUCGAUGUGGGACUCUUCGUCGAGUCGAGUUGUUUGGGAAUGCAGCUCAAAGUAGGAGGUAAAUUUCUUCUAAAGCUAAAUACCGGCCAGAGACCGAUAGCGCACAAGUAGAGUGAUCGAAAGAUGAAAAGCACUCCGGAAGGGGGGUCAAAAAGCACGUGAAAUUGUUGAAAGGGAAGCGCUUGCAACCAGAUUGCAUCUGGGGACUUGUGAACCUUUUGCUGGCAGUUUUGUUUUCGGUAGCCAGUUAACAUGCCAUCAAUGUAGCUCCCUCGGGAGUGUUAUAGGGUGGUCUAAUGUGGCUUAUCGUGAGCGAAACUGCCGUAAUGGUUGUAAGCGGCCCGUCUUGAAACACGGACCAAGGAGUCUAACAUUUAUGCGAGUCUUUGGGUUUCAAACCCACAGGCGUAAUGAAAGUGAACGGAGGUAGUUACGCUAUCGACCGAUCCUGAUGUCUUCGGAUGGAUUUGAGUAUGAGCAUAUAUGCUGGGACCCGAAAGAUGGUGAACUUUGCCUGGUUAGGGUGAAGUCAGAGGAAACUCUGAUGGAAGCCCGCAGAGGUUCUGACGUGCAAAUCGAUCUUCAAAGCUUGGCAAA
rnacentral:rRNA from 1 species